GGACUUAAAACCUGACUUUGCUAAAGCCAUCAGGUAGCAGUGAAAGCUGCGGGAGAAUGAAAAUCCGUUGACCGUAAUAG
rnacentral:tRNA from 10 species